UACGUAGGGCAGCGAGCGUUGUUCGGAGUUACUGGGCGUAAAGGGUGUGUAGGCGGGUCUUUAAGUCAGGGGUGAAAUCCUGGAGCUCAACUCCAGAACUGCCUUUGAUACUGAGGAUCUUGAGUUCGGGAGAGGUGAGUGGAACUGCGAGUGUAGAGGUGAAAUUCGUAGAUAUUCGCAAGAACACCAGUGGCGAAGGCGGCUCACUGGCCCGAUACUGACGCUGAGGCACGAAAGCGUGGGGAGCAAACAGG
rnacentral:rRNA from 1 species